UCCCUGGCGGCUUAGUGGGUAAAGUAUCUGCCUGCAACGCAGAGACAUGGGUUCUAUCCCUGGCUUGGGAA
rfam:TPA: Bos taurus chromosome 1, whole genome shotgun sequence.